rnacentral:rRNA from 1 species
UACGAGGGGGGCGAGCGUUGUUCGGAAUUAUUGGGCGUAAAGGGUGCGUAGGCGGUUCGGUAAGUUUCGUGUGAAAUCUUCGGGCUCAACUCGAAGUCUGCACGAAAUACUGCCGGGCUUGAGUAUGGGAGAGGUGAGUGGAAUUUCCGGUGUAGCGGUGAAAUGCGUAGAUAUCGGAAGGAACACCUGUGGCGAAAGCGGCUCACUGGACCAUUACUGACGCUGAUGCACGAAAGCUAGGGGAGCAAACAGG